CGCGCAGGUGGUUUCUUAAGUCUGAUGUGAAAGCCCACGGCUCAACCGUGGAGGGUCAUUGGAAACUGGGAGACUUGAGUGCAGAAGAGGAUAGUGGAAUUCCAAGUGUAGCGGUGAAAUGCGUAGAGAUUGGGAGGAACACCAGUGGCGAAGGCGACUUACUGGGCCGUAACUGACGCUGAGGCGCGAAAGCGUGGGGAGCGAACA
rnacentral:rRNA from 1 species